UGCGUAGGCGGAUUAAUAAGUCAGUGGUGAAAACCUGCAGCUUAACUGUAGAACUGCCAUUGAUACUGUUAGUCUUGAGUACGGUCAAGGUAGGCGGAAUGUGUAAUGUAGCGGUGAAAUGCUUAGAUAUUACACAGAACACCGAUUGCGAAGGCAGCUUACUGGGCCAUUACUGACGCUGAGGUACGAAAGCGUGGGGAGCGAACAGGAUUAGAUACCCUGGUAGUCC
rnacentral:rRNA from 1 species